rnacentral:tRNA from 1 species
CAAGGAAUAGUUUAAUAAAAAUUUUAGUUUUGGAGAUUAGAGAUGGGGAAGAUAAUCCUUUUCCUUGA